GCUAAGGCUCUCUUACGGCACUCUCCCUCGUUAGGCACAUUUGUACCUGUUUUCUCAACUAUACUCCAAACAUAUCUCAAUAGAGUAACUUUAUACGUUAUUUCUGCCAGAUGCCUUAUUAGUUGUAAGUGUGUAUCUAAAACACGGAAUUCAUUCACGAGAAAACUUGGUCAACUCCAACACUCCGAUCUGGUUGACUGUUUUUUUUUUCAACGAACCCUGAAGUGGCUUUAUUUUCAUUUAGAAUAUACUUACCUAAAAAAGAAAUAUACCAGUUUAUAAAAAAAUUAUAAUAUUAGUUUUCCUUGAUCAAUUCAAAAAGAGUGCAGUGUAUGAAGGUCUCGUAAAGUGCAUUUUCUAUAAAAAGUGUCUAUCAGUCUAACAAUGCACAGAUGGUAAGGCCCGAUCUUCAGCCCGAUUGUUCAGCUCACAUAUUAUCUUGUAAAUUAGCAGCAUUCAUAAAGAUUCGGUCAUUAUUUACUACUAAGUGAGAUCUGGGUGACAAGCGGAUGCAAAGCUGGUUUUUGUUCAGAAGAGCUCUAAUCUGUUGAGAAAUGUUACACCUCUGCAGCACAGAUUAACUAGUAUAGAAACGUUCAUGCUUAAAAGUUAAUGCUACAUGAGUUUUUUGAAGAGUACUUAAACCGAUCAAUCCAUUCCUAUACGUUGACUUCAAAUCAAUCUCCAGUGCAGAUUAGCACGGUACACUCGAAUUAGCAAAACAUCAGAAAGUCACCUUGUUAGUGUAAAAAAAACUGCUUUGUGUGGUACGUCCAGAUGCACAACUUGGGCUGCUUUGAUUUGAAAGUGCUCAAAAUUAUGGCUCGCUGAACUUCUCUAAACCCCCCUAACUACGCUAAUGUGUUUUUUUUUUGGAAAUAUGACUUUCAUAUAAAUCCAAACGAUGAAUCUAUUGACAAAGGAAUUAGCACAACUAAAACUAUGCGCCAAUUUCGUACGAAUUGAUCAACAUCGUUUUUUUUCUAAAUUAUCUAUGGCAGUAGCAGGCUGCGAACUAACUAAAACUUCCCGUUGUAAUAUUAGGCUGUUACAAGCGAAGCCCGUUGACUUUGCAAAUUAAUGACUAGUUCGCUUAGAAUGAUGACUUUCAUAUGUUUUCCUUUAUAUUUUAGGCGUUUGUCCCUGCGCUCUGACAACUUCUGGACAGCCAUAUACAUAUUAUUCGCAUUUCCACACGUAGUUUUUUUUACCUAUAAUAAGCAGAUUGAUAGUUCUGGUUUAGAUAGUAGCACCAAGUGCCUUUCUUAGAGCGUGGAGAAUCGAUGGGGUCUGAAGUUGAAACUGCAUGUUUUCAAGUGCCGUGGCAGUCACGGAUCUGUUGAGGAAGACGAGUUAGCGAGCUGCAUUCACUGUUCCAUUUUCGGCGUGUACCUCGUGCUAGUCGAUGUCCCUGAUGCUCAUAUUAUCAUUCUACGUCCGAAUCUACUUGACACUGCCACCAAACUUGGUUUCUUUCCAGGGCGACGCCAUCUCUCGCCCGACGGCCUACGGCAACCGUAUGCUUCAGGCAGUUUUUGCUUCUUAAGGUUCCACCAAUUGUACGUGGAGUACACCAUCCCCAUUUCCAAUUGCCAUGAGACAAUUCAUUUAUUUACAAUGUUUUACGUAUCGUUAGUAUUUGGGUUAUAUCUGUAAUGCUGUAACAUGUUACAUGAGAGAUGCUAGUUGGCCGACAAAGCCCUUACACUCUAAUUUCUGCUUUCUGAAAAGUCUUUCGGAUUGCGUAAAUGUGUUCUUUCGUUCAGGUCUCGCUCGCCUUUCACCCUAAUCUCGUCCAUUCUAACACUGUAAUUUCCGAUCUUGGAACGUUUGCACCGCUUGUGUACUGUGCUUUCGCUCAAGGCCUCCUUGCCUAACGUCGUCACCAAUUUCCUAUGAGUUUCCGUAGCGCUGUGGCCCUGAGAUAUGAAGGCUUGACCAAUCAACAUUGACUUUAGGGACUAGAAGAAAUUUUUCCGAACUCAUUUCUUUUGACCGGUUUUCACCCCAUAAGUUUCCAAAAUACUGCAAAAGCGUUAACCACCUAAAUGUCGUCUGCUAGUGACGCGUACUUAAAAAGUUAUUCAAUUUCAAAGUACGCUAAAUUCGCUUAUAACAGACUAAUGCUUUCCGUUGUUUUAUCGCAAAACAGGUAACCGUCGAUAAGUGGCCUUAAAUCAGCGAGCAUCGAGUUCUUUAGCCAGAACCGCACGACGUCAAGAGUGUGGUGAACCUCAGCUUCAGCAGCUCUUAACUAUGUUUACUGAUUAUUGCUGCGACUGCCUCUGCAAGACCCACCCUUCAGUGAGGUCUCAUUGAAUGGUAAUUGGCUUAAACGCACGAAUUUAUCAUAACCUCAGCACACUUCGCUUUUUUAUUUGCUCACUAAAGUUUAGAAUUAUAAUUUCAAGGUUGAUAAUUAAUCAUUAACGACCACUACAAGCAAUCUCGUCCUGUCCCAGAACCUUCUUUCUUUCUUUCUUUCUUUCUUUCUUUCUUUCUUUGAUUUUCAUUCCAGUUAGCUAGUGCAUAUCGGCAGCUUACAUACUGGGCAAUUAUGACAUUGAUAUUAAUAAUCCCAAAGAUAAUUAGUUGAAUCUAUAGUUCCAUACGGUGUGAUCUUUGUAAUACUACCCUUUCUUCUGUACCUCCUUGUCUGUUCGAUUGUUCAUGAUUCCUCUAUUUGGUUGUGUUCCCGAAAGUUUCGACCGACCGUGUUUCGGUCAUUUCUCUUUGUUUUCAUCAUGAUUGACUAAUGAUCGUUUGCUUUAUCAUCACCAUCAUCGUCCUCUAACGUUAUAUUUUAUUAAUAAAUACAUUAUUACAUAUUAUAGUUAUCUCGCAUAUACACACGCACGCACACACAUGCACGUCCGCACGCAGGCAGGCAGAUACUGACAGUCACGCGAUUUCGGCUUUACGUCGUCUUAUCGUAAAUCGUCGCCUGAUUCAGUCGUGAGAACAUUGCAAUUGAUCAUUGAUUUGAGUAAAGUCUGUAGUUGCUGACUUGUGGCUUGUAAAAAAUUAUCCCUAUACAAUUUUGUCUGUCCUAUAGAAUACGAAGGCAUUUGUUCUUAAUCAUCUGAGAAAGCGUUAACGAAGCGGUGGCAAGUUAGACAGCAGCUCUGGCUGAAAUAUUUCUCAAUUGGCCGUCACACAAAUCAUAAUAGUAGUACUUGCGAUAUUUUCGAUAUGGUGCGCGUACCCUGCAGGCUUGCAUGUCACAACAUGCCUGAUGCUGUUAAUUGGCCCUACUGUUUGGCUUACUUUGCAGCUCUGACCUUAUCUGUAUCAUGAGGAAACGUGCGCUGUCAGUCCAUCUCAUCGCUCAAUUAGUAAUAAACAAGCUGUUCGUGCUAUCAAUAUAAGCAUUUCCUCAAGCACACGUACGAGCACAUUAUUUCAAGCGAGAUGUUUAAACAUUUAGUUUGAAAUAUUAAUAUAACGAUUGAAUCGCUAUACGAUACCGUUAUUCACACAGCAGAGGACAGAUUCGAUUACAAAGACCGAAUAUAUAUAUGUUAUCCCACACUCAAUUUUUGCCCAACAAUAAGUCAAACAAAAUACUUGUGAAAGUUUAACGUGCUCCUUGCAAUACAGGCCUCUGUAGCAGUUCACCUAAUAAAGUUUUUGAUGGUUGUAAUUUUUACCUCGGAUACACAUUAUCUGGCCGACUUUCAGUCAGUCAGUCAGUCAGUCCAAAUACUUGAUAACGUGUUUGUGUAUAUACUAUUCGUAUCGGCUUGAUCGUCUAGCUCCUUGCCGACGGUUCCCGCAUGCUUUUAUCGUCUUGCUUCGACCGUAUGUAACCCAAAAUCCACAACACAUGCUCGGGUCUGCAUUAUACUUUUUUGCUGAUCGAUAAACGCAAUUUUCGUGUCAUCUCUUUAGUUUACAUCAAUCAAUCAACUAAGCACAAUCGC